ensembl:lncRNA
UGAACACAGGCCUACAGCCAGGAAACAGGUUUCUAUAAAAGCUUCUUGUUUGAGUCCAACAUUCAAACAAUUUUACAUUCAAAGAGCACUAGCCCAAAGCUAAUCCUGUGAUUUGACCACCUUCAGAACCCUUUUCUGACUCUGAGCAGGUGACAAAGAUUAAUUACAAACGCAAAUGUUGCUCUGCAAGUGAGAACACCGAGUACAUACCAAAUAUAUACCAGCAUAUCAUCAGACCUACUCCUAUCGGCAACAUGUAUUAAAACACCAUGAAAACAAUACAUUUCUGGACGUGUGGUCCUCGGCCUCCCAAUGGGGCUGGGGCCAGGGCUAAAGCAGGGGCCAAGAUAGUGGAUGGAGAACACACGGACCCCCUGAGGACUUAUGUGCCAUCGCUGCCCUCCUGUUACCGCUGCUGGAGGCUCCCGGAUGGAUAACGCCAACCACUCCGCUUUCUCCCUCUGUCCCUAUCUCUCUGUUUCUCUCUCUUUCUUUCAUCAUCCUGGAAUUAAAGUGUGACUAUGUUAAUAACCUGUCAGGUCAGAUAAAGAUUGCUACUGGUGACACUGAAACCCGGUACUACCUGUGUCAGAAUAUUUGAUAUAUAUAUGGUUAAAUUGAAAAAGAUUUGUAAUAUUGAUUUUGCGCGUGACUUAAAUAUGUCCUUUGGAAUGGAACUUGAGGCAGAAGAUUUUUCUGACUCUGGGCAGGCGACAAAGAUUCUGUACAAACGCAAACGUCGGAGAAGCAUAACGGAGCCUUUACAUUUUAGCUCUGAAACUGAGAUCUUCAUAAGUACAGAGGGUGCAGAUCAGACAUUGAGUGUGAAAAACAACAUCAUAGACUCUUCUCAGCGUUCCAUCAUCUCAGAUUCUGAUAUUUUAGACAGACGCAAACGUAGGAAUAGCUUAGAUAUUCCACCAGAUUUUGUAACAUGCACACUGGAAAAUAUUCAGUAUGUAUACUUUGAAGUUUUAUGUUUUCUGCAUACUUUGAAGCUACAUAGUCACACUUUAAACCAGAUAUAUCUAUUAAAGCCUUCAUGACGCCAUCAUAAUGCCUUCAUAAUGUCCUACACUACAUACAUAGAAGCUUCACAUAUCAUUUGUAAGCAAAUGUCAUGCUGGAAAAAGGAGGUGUGCAGAUGCGGAAGCAGAGAUGUGCCGACAGAAGCGAACUUUCGAUGCAUAAUUCUGUUUAAACUAACCUAACGGAUGGCGCAGAAGCUGCAAAAUUAGGCUUUAGAGAGGUGGAAGGUUGCUUGAUCAGUAGCCGGAAGGUUGCUGAUUCAAUCCACGGACAGGGUAUAAAAACAGAACUGUGGGAACUGUUGGUCUAUGAUUCCAGGUACUCCCUCCUGCCGUUGUGCCCUUGAGCAUGGGACUUAAACCCCAAAACUGCUCCCCAUCCAGGGGUGCUGCUCUGUAGCUUAUCAACUUAGCUGAUCAAUGAUUUGUGCAGCGCCUAUGAAAUGUGAUGAAGCAGAUAAUGAGGCUAAACAACUAACAAUAUUCAGUUAAGUAAUGUACAUUUAGAAGGUUAUAAUAGGGUCAUACUCACAUUGCUCCUAUAAAUAUAUUUAGCAUUUCAUUAUCUUAUAUUCUGGCUUAGCUUUUUAAUGCAAUAAAAACUGUGACAAACUA